CACGACACAACGACGAACAACUUGGAUGGAGGCGGGGGACCCAACCGGUCCGCCGAAAAGCUAACGGACCUGGAGCCUUCGGGCUCCUUGGGGUGAAGCCGUCGUCGUCACCGACGAUGCCGGCCGGGCGACCUCUCCAGCCCGAACCCGACAGCUGACCUCGCGGGCGCCGAAGAGAGGACCU
rnacentral:sRNA from 2 species